AUCUUUGAGUUGCAAGCAUUUCUCAAUAUCAUGGUUGUGAUCUUUAUGGUAUUGAUAAUAUUUUCUCGCAUUUUACCUACUAGGUGGGGCUAUCAUCCUCUUUGGCCUCAGUAGAUCUUUCUAGUGCUCGAUCUCUAUAAGUAUCUAUGCUCUGGGUGCAUUGAGUGGAGUAUAAUUUUUGAAUCUCCGAGGUGGAGAUCUAGAUCAGUGGUGCCUACGUGAGGUCCUCGUUUGGUUGUCACAAGGAGGAUCCAGGAUCGGUGUGAUCUUCUAUCAUCUCGGUGGCCUUCGC
rnacentral:lncRNA from 1 species